CGAGCCACUUAGCGCGGUUCGGGCCAUACCACUCGAUACCAGAGCUCUUGGGGGCAGCCGGCUGUAAAGAUGUUGCGAACGGAACAAACGUCUCUGGUUAGCGGAAGGACACUGCAAAUGCGUAUUUGCAUCUAUGUAAGGCACGCUGAUAAAAUAAAUGGUGUCGAAAUAAAACGGACCUUAGCAGCGGCCUUCUUGCCGGUCGCCUUGCAUGCGACCUGCAGAGCCUUGCGAGAGGUGGCGAGAGCGAAAGCCAUUUUAGAUGUUCGUAAGGUGAUCAGACUCUGCUGCACAAAGGAGAGAACUGAUACUGAAAGCACAGGCAACCAGCGCUUUUGUUUUGCAAGCAAAUCUUGAUGCCGUACGCACGCCGUAUCCCUGUCCUGUCUGUGGGACAGGGCGUUUACCUAACAGAGAUCGCAGGAUACAGACAUGGCACACCUGCAACACAUGCGCUUAGCAGCUAUCUGCACCUGCACAGAUUGGCAUGAACGAUUUGCUACACCUGUUUGCAAGUUUCAUACAAGUUUGUGAUGCAAGGAUAACUCAGUGGCGACUGUAUAAAUGCUGUGACGUGCACGUUGAAGAUGGAUUUUGAUACGCACUGCAAAACCUUGUUUAGGCGCCAAAAGGAUCCUUCCGUGUUUGACCCUAGCUGUUCGGCCUUUACUCAUUACCAGUACCGUAGGACGGGAGGACAGUAGCUGUUGUCCUUGCUAGGAAGCAAGCUGAUAUAAUGGGUCACGCUGCUUAGGACGGCAAAGGGCAUUCUUUCCCGGACAGGGCCGGUGAACACAAGGUCCAAGCUCUGCUGGACCGCAAAAGGGCGACAGCGCCGAACCGGAGGCCGUUUAGGACCAAAGGAAGGCAACAAGUACGCGCGAAGCAGCCUGUUGUAGCAACACAUCCGAUCAAGGGAGGACGGGCGGCCUCGACCAAACGCAUGAGCUCUUAGCAACCUACAAUCAGCCACGGGCUUCCAAACGUCGGAGCCUAAGGCUGGCACCUGGGAAAAGCUCCUACUUUGCCCCGGGCUUGCCUUUGACCUCUGAAGUAAUGAAUGGAACGUCAGCACGCCCUGUGUUUGUUACCUCUUUUGCCAGGUGUUUCACCAUGCAAGCUACAUGUUGAGCACUCCACGCAUGCUUAGCUUCAGGCUAUCAAUUGAACUGUGAAAGGACCUUCUUGUGACCAGCAGUUUCAUGCAUAAAGUCGCUGGUCGCAGUAUCAGAUAGACAAGGGACAGCGGGUAGCCUAUUUGUGCCUUUCCGGGAGAGUGCUGGGCCCAUGGCACUGGCAUACGGUAUUCGGUUCUUAAGUUACGGGAGCAGGUGGUCAAACCAUUGGCGAUGCUGCAUGCUCUGGCCUUGCGGAUGCGAAACUGAUCGAAAGGGGCCUGCCAGCCAGGGUGAUACUGAAAGCAAUAGCCAGCAUGCAGCGGCGUCCAUCUGGUUGCCGAGCUUUUAAGACUCCAUAUCAUUGCACGUCCCAUGGUUCUACACCGGACUGUAAUCCAGGUAACGGCAUCGCUCAUUACAAGGCUCCAGUCCGACUUCGUACCUUCUUCCUUCGGCUUCAGGGUGGCGUGUGCGUGUGUGUGCGUGUGUGUGUGUGUGUGUGUGUGUGUGUGUGUGUGUGUGUGUGUGUGUGUGCGUGUGUGUGCGCAUGUGUGUGUGCGUGUGUGUGUGCGUGUGUGUGUGCGUGUGUGUGUGUGUGCGUGUGUGUGUGUGUGUGUGUGUGUUGUUGUUGUUAUUAUUGUUGUUACAUGGUCGUGGGUGCGUUCCCCGUACCUGCAAACCACCCUAAAACGAGCCGAGGGCUCAAGGGCUGCCAGAUCGCCUAUAAGCACCAUCCUACCUCGCACUUCCAACGAAACAAGUGAUGAAGGAUACUCACGACCAAAGGGAACGAUAGAGUUGCGGUGGGACCAUAUACGUUCCAGCAUCCUUGCCAGGCGUUCAGGUUCCCACCUCAUAGCGUCUUUCGUGUGCUCGAAGCGUGGGAAACCCAUAUCAGAUCUGAUUUUGUCGUACACCAGACAGUCCAGCAAAAUGUGCUUCUCAUCCUCGAUAUGGCUAUCAGUGCCGCAGCAAGGGCAUACUCGCUCCUCCCUAGGGAUAUAACGCCGUCCCUUACGCGCUCUGUUAGCCGCCAAUGCCCAACAGCAAAGCCUAAACUGCAUAAGCUUGCGAUUCGCUGAGCGCGGGACAAACAUUGUGAUAUGCGGGAGCAACUCCUUCCUGCCCGCUUGUUCGGCCGCCAGGCCCAUCCAAUUCUUAUACUUCGCCAUGUGAAUUCCUGGUUGCUUGCCGUCUGACGGGUACACGUCUGGCUGGACAUGUGUGUGUGCGUGUGUGUGCGUGUGUGUGUAUGUGUGUGUGUGUGUGCGCGUGUGUGCGUGUGUGUGUGCGUGUGUGCGUGUGCGUGUGUGUGUGCGUGUGCGUGUGUGUGUGCGUGUGUGUGUAUGUGUGUGCAUGACAAAAAAAGAAAGAGAGUGAGUGUGUGUUUGUGUUUGUGUGUCUUGGUGUUUGUGAGUUUGUGAGUUUGUGAGUUUGUGUUAUGCAUAUCGACACUUUUUUACGUGGUGCUGAUGCUGUGCUAUCCGAAACGGGACACAUAAGCCCGAGGCGAGCGCCACAAUAAGCCUUCUUGGUGCAUCGGGGUACCUUCCAGCGGCAACGUAGUUCCUGGCUGUGAGGAAGGUAGCGAGCCUGGUUCGCGGAGGCCGAGGCCGCUGUACGCAAGAGGGAUUGGCGAUGACCUAUGCCGCGCCAGUGAUGAUGUCGGCGGGGAGUGACCUACCAACGUGGUUUGCUGAAGUUUAACUCUUGCACUGUACGACAACCGAGGGCAUCAACCCGCGAUUAAGCGCCUAGCUCACUUCGCUAACACAGGACAGCCACGAUAACCCUUGGCUUCUUUCGCGCGAUAGAGCGUGGCCACAUGCACCUCGAAUCAUCCCUCUGAAUGAUGACAUGUUCCUUUAGCUCAUGUCUCGCGCGUGUUCCCCAUGUGUGCCUGUUGCGUGGCCGCCUUUGCAGUACGUGCCCACCAAAUUGGCUGUAUGUGCUCCAGACCCAAGAAGCGGUGAAACAAGCACUGGAACCGACACCUUCCUUAUGUCAUGAACACCGAAAUGUUACAGGAGCUUGCUUGGCGCAACGCACCCAGCACGUGCAUGCGCCUUGUAUGAAGCUCUUGACAUCUCACGUCUCACCGCCCACUACCCCACCCAAAAGUAAGAGCUCCACCUCAACACCCGUGCUGUGGGAAACCCCUGCUGGGAAACACCCACAACAAAACUUCAGGCCCGUAACAGGACCGCUUCCGCCGCUGCUCACCACUCACCACUCACCACGGCUCCAUGCGGAAAUUCAUCGCAGGAACACGACAUAAAAACCACAGGUGGCCACAGUGCGACAACGAGGUUCGAUGGACAUAACUGACAAGCACCCACGCAUCACUCAACAGUUUUGGUAAGUUGCGCAUCCAAGCGUGUUUACCCAACAGCGACGGAUAGGCAACUACUGCCUGCAAUUGCUAUGCAUGUGACGUCUCGUAUACCGGUAUUGGCAGUUUAUUGGUUAUGUUGUGUCUACGUUCACAUAGCUAAACAACGUAACGUAACUGAAGGCAGCAGCGGCCGGCAGAUGCGGACAACCACCUCGACUAGCAAACAUAGCAGCGAUACAUUACGCGCUGGGCGUGAACUUGGUGGCGAAGGCGAAGGCGUUGUUGACGGCCGGGUUGGCCAGAUGGUCGUUCAGGUUCUCAAUGGGCCCCUUGCCGGUCACAAUGGCCUGCACGAAGAAGCCGAACAUGGAGAACAUGGCCAGGCGGCCGUUCUUGAUCUCCUUGACCUUGAGCUCGGCGAAGGUGUCCGGGUCGUCAGCCAGGCCCAGGGGGUCGAACGACUCGCCGGGGUACAGCGGGUCCAGGCCCUCGCCGGCCGGGCCGCCGUUCACACGGUAGCCCUCCACCAGGCCCAUCAGGAUCACCUGCGCGGCAUGUGAGCAGCGAGAGCGGGGGAGAAGACAGCAGUCAAUACGGAUAUGCAACACGCCAUCUAACGCGUCGUCUGCUCGCUUGGGGCUACGUUGCAAUAAAACCAAGCUGGAUAGGAAACGAGACACCCAGAUUCCUGGAUGUGCGAUAUCGCACAAUGCUCACAUGCCACAAGGCUCAAACUAGGCAUCCAAAGCCAAGCUGAAUGUAAGAGCGCGCAAAAGGCAGGGGAGCUUACUACAGUCAAGCGCUGGCAGAGAACAGUUGCCGCGCCCCACCUUGUUUCACCUAGCCAGCUAACAAGUAAGGCGACCGGACACAUUCCUAAGCAUGCAGCCACGUCCCUCCCGCCCACCUGGCACGCCAGCGUCGCGACAAUGUUCUGAGCGUGCACCAGCGACGGGUUGCCCAGGUAGUCCAGGCCGCCCUCCUGGAAGAUCUGAGCGCCGGCCUUGAACCACACAGCCUCACCGAACUGCACGCCGUUCUUGGACAGCAGCUCGGGGGUCACGCAGCCCAGAGCACCAAGCAUGGCCCAGCGCGCAUGGAUCAGCUCCAGCUCGCGGUAGCGCUUGAACGUCUCCGGGUCAGCAGACAGGCCGGCAGUGUCCCAGCCGUAGUCACCGGGGAACUCGCCAGUCAGGUAGGCAGGGGUGGCAUUCUCGCUGUAGGGGCCUGUCCGAUGUGGGCACAGAAGGGGAAAGCGAGCAUACGGCGGCAGCGGGCUACUGAACGGCAGGUCACGAAAGGGGGAAAGGCACCUGUGCCCUUCAUCGCAGCAUGCAUCACGCGAUGUAAGCAAAGGACCGAAAGAGCAGCCUGCGCACAGAAACCUGACGCUGCGGCAUGUUGCGCCGAAAGGAGGACCAUGCACGAGACCGACCGAUUACUCCGGCCCUCCGAUACGCGCUACACCCGCUGCAUAUCGGAUCUUCUUCGCAGGAUAACCUACCGAGCCACUUAGCGCGGUUCGGGCCAUACCACUCGAUACCAGAGCUCUUGGGGGCAGCCGGCUGUAAAGAUGUUGCGAACGGAACAAACGUCUCUGGUUAGCGGAAGGACACUGCAAAUGCGUAUUUGCAUCUAUGUAAGGCACGCUGAUAAAAUAAAUGGUGUCGAAAUAAAACGGACCUUAGCAGCGGCCUUCUUGCCGGUCGCCUUGCAUGCGACCUGCAGAGCCUUGCGAGAGGUGGCGAGAGCGAAAGCCAUUUUAGAUGUUCGUAAGGUGAUCAGACU
rnacentral:lncRNA from 1 species